CAAUAGCGUAUAUUUAAGUUGCUGCAGUUAAAAAGCUCGUAGUUGGAUUUCGGGUGGGAAUGGCCGGUCCGCCGUUUCGGUGUGCACUUGCUACGCCCACCUUGCUGCCGGGGACGUGCUCUUGAGUUCACGCUCGGGACACGGAGUCGGCGAGGUUACUUUGAGUAAAUUAGGGUGUUCAAAGCAGGCCUACGCUCUGAAUACAUUAGCAUGGAAUAACACGAUAGGACUCUGGCCUAUCUUGUUGGUCUGUAGGACCGGAGUAAUGAUUAAGAGGGACAGUCGGGGGCAUUCGUAUUUCAUUGUCAGAGGUGAAAUUCUUGGAUUUAUGAAAGACGAACUACUGCGAAAGCAUUUACCAAGGAUGUUUUCAUUAA
rnacentral:rRNA from 1 species